rnacentral:rRNA from 1 species
UGGUGGCAUGCCUAAUACAUGCAAGUCGAGCGAGCUGAAUUCAAAGAUCCCUUCGGGGUGAUUUGUUGGACGCUAGCGGCGGAUGGGUGAGUAACACGUGGGCAAUCUGCCCUAAAGACUGGGAUACCACUUGGAAACAGGUGCUAAUACCGGAUAACAACAUGAAUCGCAUGAUUCAAGUUUGAAAGGCGGCGCAAGCUGUCACUUUAGGAUGAGCCCGCGGCGCAUUAGCUAGUUGGUGGGGUAAAGGCCUACCAAGGCAAUGAUGCGUAGCCGAGUUGAGAGACUGAUCGGCCACAUUGGGACUGAGACACGGCCCAAACUCCUACGGGAGGCAGCAGUAGGGAAUCUUCCACAAUGGACGCAAGUCUGAUGGAGCAACGCCGCGUGAGUGAAGAAGGUUUUCGGAUCGUAAAGCUCUGUUGUUGGUGAAGAAGGAUAGAGGCAGUAACUGGUCUUUAUUUGACGGUAAUCAACCAGAAAGUCACGGCUAACUACGUGCCAGCAGCCGCGGUAAUACGUAGGUGGCAAGCGUUGUCCGGAUUUAUUGGGCGUAAAGCGAGCGCAGGCGGAAUGAUAAGUCUGAUGUGAAAGCCCACGGCUCAACCGUGGAACUGCAUCGGAAACUGUCAUUCUUGAGUGCAGAAGAGGAGAGUGGAACUCCAUGUGUAGCGGUGGAAUGCGUAGAUAUAUGGAAGAACACCAGUGGCGAAGGCGGCUCUCUGGUCUGCAACUGACGCUGAGGCUCGAAAGCAUGGGUAGCGAACAGGAUUAGAUACCCUGGUAGUCCAUGCCGUAAACGAUGAGCGCUAGGUGUUGGGGACUUUCCGGUCCUCAGUGCCGCAGCAAACGCA